rnacentral:lncRNA from 1 species
GUACCCCAUUACCCCAAAGCAGCCAGCCUCAUGGAACAGCACGGCCUGUUUGAGACUGGGUUACAGGGCCAGUUUGGAGUCAUCAUCUUUGGGGUCGGGGUGCUGUUACAGGAUGGGUAACCACUCUGAACCAGGGAGACGGGGUUUCAUCAUGUUGGCCACGCUGGUCUUGAAUUCCCGACCUCAGGUGAUCUGCCUGCCUUGGCCUCCCAAAGUGCUAGGAUUACAGAGGUGAGCCACCGUGACCGGCCUUCACUCUUCAAAUGUUUGCUUCCUGUUCCUGCUACCCUGAACCCUGCUGUUGAGGGGUUCUAGUGUCUACAAGGGAACCGCUGCCACCACGAGGAAUAACACACCCUCCCUCCUUGGACAAGGACAAGGCCUGAUCUGGGUGCACUGAGACCUCCCUCCCCUAUGCAGGGCCCAGAGUGACAAAGAGGGUCUGUGUCCCCUUCCCUUUGCAGAAGCACAUCAAGCCCGCACACAGGCUCUACCUUCCUCUACCCAACCCCCUCUCCACUCCUGCAGACCCCCGCCUUCCUGCAGGUCCCCCUCCGGCCCC